ACGCUCGACACCUACGGGGGCAGCAGUCGGGAAUAUUGCGCAAUGGAGGAAACUCUGACGCAGUGACGCCGCGUAUGGGAAGAAGGUUUUCGGAUUGUAAACCAUUUUAGACAAGGAAGAAACAAGACAGUACUUGUAGAAUAAGCUCCGGCUAACUACGUGCCAGCAGCCGCGGUAAUCUGAGGCGGGCUGGCAAGGC
rnacentral:rRNA from 1 species